AAUAAAGUCGUAAGGAUAGGUUUGUGGCGAUUUUUGCGAUGACGAUUGCGACUGUUGAUGCAAAAUCAUUUUAAUGGAACGUCCCUGCGAUAAUUUAAGAGCAACGCAGCAUAGCAGAAAGGUGAUUGCUAGAUAGUAUACUUCAAAAUAAGAUUUCCGCUGGGAGACUGGUGCGAGUUUUGCAAUAUCUUCGGAAAAAAGAAACGAGAGCAUCACGAAUAACGAACAAAGAUAGAGCGAUAAACCCUGGGUAAACCUAUUAUCAAUGAGAAUAGUUUAGUGUAGGAGUUUUAUUGUGAUGAAGUUGUUGGUAUUUGAUUGAAGCAGUAUGCUAGAAAUUCAUUCUCCUCAAGAUUCUUGUUUUGGUAGUGAAUCUUGAAGAAUUAUUCCUGCUUCCUGUGGUGCAGAGUUUCGUGCUUCUUCUAGCAAUGUAUUAAGACCAUUGGAAUAUUUUCGAGCGAGUUAUCUGCUGGAACUAUGGUGUUAUCUAGAUGAAAAGUGGAUUUUCUCGAUAAAGUGGGCUGAGUCUAUCCCAUUUCCACUCUGGAAAAGCUCUUAUGCAAGCACAGAAGUGUUUGCACAAAAGUUUGUUGUGUCUCCAGUCUACGCAGGUGCAGUUUGGAAGCGUUUGUUCAUCACCAAAAAGUACGAUAUGGUGCUCCUUCCCUGUUGAACUUUUUACUUCAAAGACCCCUGGGGACACCAUGUGGACCAUGUCUUUGCUAAUGUCACUAUCCCAACGCUUCAUAAUAUGAGACACCAUUCUGGCAGGUCUGUUGUGCAGAAAUUUUGGAAGUUCCUCAUUAUAAGCACGAAUCCAAAGAUGACUAAAGUCUACAGUAAGUGCCGCUGUAGUUAGCCUAAUCACACCUUUCAAUAAUUUGUUAAUUAAGCAGUUGUUUUUUCAAAAGAAGGGGCCUGUGUCACACAACAAAAACCCUACGAAAUGAAUUUUUCCUUCAAAA